rnacentral:rRNA from 1 species
UACCCUGGUAGUCCACGCCGUAAACGAUGUCGACUUGGAGGUUGUGCCCUUGAGGCGUGGCUUCCGGAGCUAACGCGUUAAGUCGACCGCCUGGGGAGUACGGCCGCAAGGUUAAAACUCAAAUGAAUUGACGGGGGCCCGCACAAGCGGUGGAGCAUGUGGUUUAAUUCGAUGCAACGCGAAGAACCUUACCUACUCUUGACAUCCAGAGAACUUAGCAGAGAUGCUUUGGUGCCUUCGGGAACUCUGAGACAGGUGCUGCAUGGCUGUCGUCAGCUCGUGUUGUGAAAUGUUGGGUUAAGUCCCGCAACGAGCGCAACCCUUAUCCUUUGU